rnacentral:ncRNA from 2 species
CAGAACGGCCUGGGGUGCCACGCAUCAUGCGCGGCUGAGAUCACACCCAUCGAACCUGUCUGGGUCAUUCCAGCGUAGGGAGACGCCGAUGAGCGCCAGC